CAGAAAUUCCGGAUUGGGGAGAAUGUUUCCAGGAAGGAUAAGAUCAACUUUCUUGUAAACACGCUUCUUGAUCUCAAGGAUAGUAAAGAGGCUGUUUAUGGUGCUCUUGAUGCCUGGGUUGCGUGGGAGCGCAAUUUCCCUAUUGGGUCACUCAAGAUGGUUCUGCUCACUCUUGAAAAGGAACAGCAGUGGCACAGAGUUGUUCAGGUAAUUAAAUGGAUGCUAAGCAAGGGGCAGGGAAAUACAAUGGGAACAUACGGGCAGUUAAUACAAGCUUUAGAUAAGGACCAUAGAGCAGAAGAAGCACACGUGUUUUGGUUGAAGAAAAUUGGUACAGAUCUUCACUCGGUGCCCUGGCAGUUGUGCAAGUGCAUGAUAUCCAUAUACUAUAGAAACAACAUGCUAGAGAACCUCAUAAAGCUUUUCAAGGGCCUAGAAGCAUUUGAUCGCAAACCUCCAGAAAAAUCAAUUGUACAGAAAGUGGCAGAUGCAUACGAGAUGUUAGGUAUGCUUGAGGAGAAAGAACGUUUACUACAAAAGUAUAAUGAUCUUUUCAAAGAGAAGGAGAAAGAAGGCCUCAAGAAAUCUAGAAAGACCUCAUCUAAGAAGUCAGGGCAGAGUAAACACAAACCAAAUUCGGAAGCCCUUACUGAAAGCAUACAAUCAGAGUUUAUCAGAGAGAAAUGAUUUUUUCUAGUGCAAAAAUGGGUAACUCUUCCAUUGAACAGCAUCUUUGCCUCUCAGCUGCCAUACCAUGAAACACUUUUGAAUCUUCAAGGUACUUCAAGCAUGGUUAGCCACUUGAUACACCAAUGCUUUGGAGAGCAUGUAUUAUAUUGUGAACAGGGCAACGAUAUACUGAUUCACUUAUUUCUGUGAGCCAAUGGAAGGUUUUCUACUUCAAAUCCCAAGUUUUCUUGCCCAGGAUGAUGGUAUAUGUGAUCCCAUUUUUUGGGUGAACCAUGAUCUGACUGCGCUUUCAUUUGUGGAAAGAUUAUCUGAGAUGGGGGUCUUGUUUGAGUGCUGGAUUGAUACUGUUUGAUGGUUUGGCACAUUAGACCUUCACAAUUGAGUUUGUCAAGCAUGUAACAAGUAUCUUAAAUUUGUAUUUGGGCG
rnacentral:misc_RNA from 1 species